GACGAACGCUGGCGGCGUGUUUAACACACGCAAGUCGAGCGAUGAAGCUCCUUCGGGAGCGGAUUAGCGGCGGACGGGUGAGUAACACGUGGGUAACCUGCCUCAUAGAGGGGAAUAGCCUUUCGAAAGGAAGAUUAAUACCGCAUAAGAUUGUAGUGCCGCAUGGCAUAGCAAUUAAAGGAGUAAUCCGCUAUGAGAUGGACCCGCGUCGCAUUAGCUAGUUGGUGAGGUAACGGCUCACCAAGGCGACGAUGCGUAGCCGACCUGAGAGGGUGAUCGGCCACAUUGGGACUGAGACACGGCCCAGACUCCGACGGGAGGCAGCAGUGGGGAAUAUUGCACAAUGGGGGAAACCCUGAUGCAGCAACGCCGCGUGAGUGAUGACGGUCUUCGGAUUGUAAAGCUCUGUCUUCAGGGACGAUAAUGACGGUACCUGAGGAGGAAGCCACGGCUAACUACGUGCCAGCCGCCGCAGUAA
rnacentral:rRNA from 1 species